rnacentral:rRNA from 1 species
UACGUAGGGUGCGAGCGUUGUCCGGAAUUAUUGGGCGUAAAGGGCUCGUAGGCGGUUUGUCGCGUCGGGAGUGAAAAUCCAGGGCUUAACUCUGGACUGGCUUUCGAUACGGGCAGACUAGAGGUAUGCAGGGGAGAACGGAAUUCCUGGUGUAGCGGUGAAAUGCGCAGAUAUCAGGAGGAACACCGGUGGCGAAGGCGGUUCUCUGGGCAUUACCUGACGCUGAGGAGCGAAAG